rnacentral:hammerhead_ribozyme from 1 species
AUUCAAAUGACGAAUCUCAAAUAUGACGUAACACGUGUCCUGGAU